UAUGGGGGGUGCGAGCGUUGUCCGGAAUUAUUGGGCGUAAAGCGCGCGCAGGCGGUCCUUUAAGUCUGAUGUGAAAGCCCACGGCUCAACCGUGGAGGGUCAUUGGAAACUGGGGGACUUGAGUGCAGAAGAGGAGAGUGGAAUUCCACGUGUAGCGGUGAAAUGCGUAGAGAUGUGGAGGAACACCAGUGGCGAAGGCGGCUUUCUGGUCUGUAACUGACGCUGAGGCGCGAAAGCGUGGGGAGCAAACAGG
rnacentral:rRNA from 1 species